GACGACGCUGGCGGCGUGCUUAACACAUGCAAGUCGAACGGUGACGAGGAGCUUGCUCCUCUGAUCAGUGGCGAACGGGUGAGUAACACGUGAGCAACCUGCCCCAGACUCUAGGAUAACAGUUGGAAACAGCUGCUAAUACCGGAUACGAGACGGAGAGGCAUCUCUACCGUCUGGAAAGUUUUUCGGUCUGGGAUGGACUCGCGGCCUAUCAGCUAGUUGGUGAGGUAAUGGCUCACCAAGGCGACGACGGGUAGCCGGCCUGAGAGGGCGACCGGCCACACUGGGACUGAGACACGGCCCAGACUCCUACGGGAGGCAGCAGUGGGGAAUAUUGCACAAUGGGCGAAAGCCUGAUGCAGCGACGCCGCGUGAGGGAUGACGGCCUUCGGGUUGUAAACCUCUUUCAGCAGGGAAGAAGCGAAAGUGACGGUACCUGCAGAAGAAGCACCGGCUAACUACGUG
rnacentral:rRNA from 1 species